GGGCGAGUGGCGAAGUUGGCAGACGCGACGGAAUUAGGGUCCGUUGCUCGAAAGAGCGUGAGGGUUCGAGUCCCUCCUCGCCCA
rnacentral:tRNA from 1 species